rnacentral:tRNA from 1 species
GUUCAGGUAGCUCAGUUGGUAGAGCGGAGGACUGAAAAUCCUUGUGUCGGUAGUUCAAAUCUACUCCUGAGCA